rnacentral:lncRNA from 1 species
AAGAGCAGGGGCCUUCACCUGAUGAAGAGCAGGUUGGUAUGGAGUUAACACCCAUGCUUAAGUGCAGAGGCCUUCACCUCAGCUCGGGUGAGCUCGGACUUAUUCAUGGGCAAACUCCCCAGUGUCAUGGGUGAGACGAGCGGGGAAAGGUUGGAACCAUGGAACUGGUGAGCUGGGCGCUGAUAGAGGGGAGCUUGGAGGUGCGGCACUGGUGAGCUCGAGGUCGACAGGGGGCACACAAGAGGGGAGCACCUCGAGAACUCGGUACCUCGAGAGCUCGGAUCUGACGAGCUCGACGCCUUUGAGCACCUUGAGAGCUUGGAUCCAAUGAGCUCGGUGCCGUCGGA